UACGGAGGGAGCUAGCGUUGUUCGGAAUUACUGGGCGUAAAGCGUACGUAGGCGGCUAUUCAAGUCAGAGGUGAAAGCCCGGGGCUCAACCCCGGAACUGCCUUUGAAACUAGGUAGCUAGAAUCUUGGAGAGGUCAGUGGAAUUCCGAGUGUAGAGGUGAAAUUCGUAGAUAUUCGGAAGAACACCAGUGGCGAAGGCGACUGACUGGACAAGUAUUGACGCUGAGGUACGAAAGCGUGGGGAGCAAACAGG
rnacentral:rRNA from 1 species